rnacentral:rRNA from 1 species
UACGGAGGGUGCAAGCGUUAAUCGGAAUUACUGGGCGUAAAGCGAGUGCAGGCGGUUGGGUGUGUCGGGUGUGGAAGCCCCCGGCUUUACCUGGGGAUUGCAUCCGAAACUGCGUAACUAGAAUAUGGUAGAGGAAGACGGAAUUCCACGUGUAGCGGUGAAAUGCGUAGAUAUGUGGAGGAACACCAAUGGCGAAGGCAGUCUUCUGGGCCAAUAUUGACGCUGAGGCUCGAAAGCGUGGGUAGCAAACAGG